rnacentral:rRNA from 1 species
UGCGUAGGCGGACUAGUAAGUCAGUGGUGAAAUCUUUCGGCUCAACCGAGAAACUGCCAUUGAUACUGUUAGUCUUGAGUUCGGUUGAGGUAGGCGGAAUGUGUAAUGUAGCGGUGAAAUGCUUAGAUAUUACACAGAACACCAAUUGCGUAGGCAGCUUACUAGACCGACACUGACGCUGAGGCACGAAAGCGUGGGGAGCGAACAGGAUUAGAUACCCUGGUAGUCC